CUGAGGAAGGCAGGGCCAUGGGCUUGGAGGCGGGACACGCGUCAGUAGCAGGUGGCGGCGGGGCUAUGGAGCUCAAGGAUGGAGCAAAUGUCAACAGGCACAGAUGAUGGGAGGUUUAACUGACGCUGCUGCACUGGAUACCCCACCCCGGUGCCGGGCACAUAGGUGCAGCCUGAGAGUAAGCAGACCUGGGUUGGAAGGUCCCGCGAUUCACCACCGACAGGAUGGGCGGCCUUGGCAACCCCCGACCCCUCGCAGGCCUGUUCCCUUAUCCAUGAGAUGGAACUCGGACAAGGUGGCCACAGGAAGGCUUUGCAAACUGUGAAGUGCAGUGCCUACGUGGGCGUGCCAGUGGCCUCGCCGGAGCCGGUAGGGAACACUCUGCAGUCCAGGCCAGGGCCCCGGUAGGACACCCAGCUGUGCAUCCCGCCCGUGGCCGCAAGGCCCGCACCUUGGCCAACAGGAGCAGGGUGCGGCUGGUGCGGGCGUCCGCGUGGCGCUCCCGCAGGUGGAAGAGCUUGGGCGACAUGAUGGCGGGAGAGAAGAAGCGCAGGCACAGGAAGCUGGUGACGGCGAUGAACGGUACAUUCUGGAGGGGUGCGGAAGAGCGCGGGCUGGAGUCCCCCAGACCAGGGCUCCUGGCAGCCCCCUCCCCUUAGGCUCCGUCCCUGACCCUCGCCGGGACACAGCCUCCCUGGUCCUCCCCAGCGCUCCCUGGUUCCCCACCGCUCUUCGCCCGCCCCUCGCCCCAGCCCAGUCCAACCCGGCCCAGCCUAGCCCAGCGGGUGGAGGGCGCACCUCGUGCUGGGCGCCGGGGAAGCGCUCGCGCACGCGCCGGAAGAGCUGGCGGAAGGUGGCGCGCACCACGGCGGGGCACGCGGGAACCGAGCGGCUGAGCGCGCUCAGCAGGGCCCCCAGGUGGGCGCGCAGCGUCUGCGCGCUCUGCUCCAGCACCUCGGCCUCGGUCUGCGGGCGGUGCAGCCCGGAACACCUGCGUGGAACGGGGCGGGUUGGCAGAGGAGGUCACGGUCAGCGCCAGGGCCACGACAGGAACAGUGGCUCUCACAGCAGCCGGGACACGGACACAGGGGACAAUACACGGGUGGGCAGAAGCACAAACACACAUGCUGACAGGGCCUGAUCCCAACCCGCUGCCGCUGCGCCCCGCACCCCCCCGGAGUUACCCCCGGCCUCACCCUACAUCCUUAACUUCCACUUUGCUGGGGUCCAGCUCCACGUACUUCUCCUCAAACACCUUGUUGAUGAUGGGGCCCAGGACGCCGUGCAGGUACUGCAUCCCGGCCACCUGGGGACCACCGCAGG
rnacentral:lncRNA from 1 species